rnacentral:lncRNA from 1 species
AAGAAGACAGCCGAGCCUGCUGUGUGAGGGCCAGGCAGCGCAUAGAACAGGUACUUGACUGCGUCCAACCUUUCUGGGCAGCUAGGUAGGCCCAGUAGGAGGGAGUUGGAGAGAGACUCCCUUCCUCAGGUCUGGGACUGUAGAUACCGCAGCAACAUGCAAAGGGUCCACCCUGAACGAGUCUACUGGCUAAGGAGCUGGUGCCCCUCCCUUGGUUUUGUUCCCUUUUGUGGAGAAAAAGGGGUCAGGAAAGCUGACCAAAGCCUGGUUUGUUUUCUUCUCCUAGAGUCUUGGCAGAGCGUGACCAUCCCCAGGCCUCUGACCUCUGGGCACUGUGAGUUGGGACUGGACUUUUUAAUUUGCCCUCCCUCGGCAGAAGGUGAUGGCUGGCGUUGCUGCUAGCCAAGCCAGUGAGCCUGCAGGGAAGCCGCAGUUCCAGGAGGAAGUGAGACAAGAACACGCCCCCUCUGAGUACUACAUGAGAUGUGUACAGUAUAUAUAUUUUUUUAAGUGACUUGCCUCUCCCCCUUCAAAUCAACAUGCGCAGAGGCCUCGGGACCUCCCUCCACAUUAUUCUGCAGACUCAGCAAGGUCCUGUGUGUGGUUCAUCCCAUACCCUGGAUCCCUGACUUAUCCUGAGGCCUUGUUCCAUCAGUUUUUCCAACUGUUUUGUUUUUUUAAAAAAGAACUCAAAAUAAAAGACUUUAAAUAU